UCAUUUACUAUGGAGCUUGCUUCAUGAUCCCUCUAUAUGGGAUAUGAACUGUUAAUGUGGUUUACCUGAAUGUCUAUGAGUUUUAGUGACUUGGACUCUGUAUGGUGUGACAUUCGGGUAAGGCUUUGACCAGCCCAUUAACUUAAAUAAAGUUACUUAUUUUAUACCGUGGACUAUAUCCACUCUCGACAUUUAACAUAAAAAUUAUCUGUCGGUAAGCGCCUUAAUGGGAAGAAGCUUAUAAUUAUAUAACUUUAUGUGGUGGAUCACUCGGCUCACGUAUCGAUGAAGAGUGCAGCAAACUGUGUUAACCAAUGUGAAACGCAGCCUGCUUCGAUCAUCGGUCUCUCGAACGCAAAUGGCGGCUUUGGGAAUUUCCCUUAGCCACGUUUGAUCGAGUGUCGGCUUUUACCUAUCACAACGCUUAAUAAGUUGUGGAUUGGGAAGUAUACCAUGGCUACAUGAUUUAGCUGAAAUUAGUUAUAUGUUUAGCGAAUAAUAGACUCCCUCCAUUAAUAUGGAUUAGUGAGUUGUACAUUCCCACAUAUAGCUAUGAGUAAGCCACUAUCUAAUAGUGCAGUUUAGAUGUUUAACACAUUGAUAACUAGACGUAGCUAACUUGGUUCUUCUCUAAUUAAAUGAGUAUAUGUUUAUAUAUAUCAAUGAUUUGCUCUACACAGGGUGUGUGGCUUAGUAUUAAGUAACGCUGUACUGUAUGGAGUAUUAUACUUGUAUAAAUAACUCUACUAUAU
rnacentral:misc_RNA from 1 species